rnacentral:rRNA from 1 species
GAACCGUACAAACGUUAUUCGGAAUCACUGGGCUUAAAGGGUGCGUAGGCGGCCCGGCAAGUUGGGUGUGAAAUCCCUCGGCUCAACCGAGGAACUGCGCCCAAUACUGCCGGACUUGAGGGAGACAGAGGUGAGCGGAACUUAGGGUGGAGCGGUGAAAUGCGUUGAUAUCCUAAGGAACACCGGUGGCGAAAGCGGCUCACUGGGUCUCUUCUGACGCUGAGGCACGAAAGCCAGGGUAGCGAACGGGAUUAGAUACCCCGGGUAGUCCUGGCCGUAAACGAUGAGCACUGGGUUGGAGGCCCCUUCCAUAGGCUUCCGGCCGUAGCGAAAGUGUUAAGAGCUCCGCCUGGGGAGUAUGGUCGCAAGGUUG